UGUGUGUGUGUGUGUGUGUCUUUCUGUAAUAUUUGUCAAGCUUUUCUGUUGCUCUGUGUUGAUGACUAUUCGUAAAUAUAUCCUUGAUUAGGCCGUAAAUCAAAAUGCUGCAACGAUUGAGUUUAAUGCUGUUUUAUCUGCAACAAGCCAAGACAUUCAGACUUUCAUAUAAUGUGGAGAAUUUUUUCUCCCCUUUUCCUUGACAGGUUGGUGGUCACCGGUUUCAAUUAACAAACCUUCAUGCGUAGCUUUCAUAAUACCAUGCAUUCAAACAUCGACGAAUCAAGAUACGCAAUCUUAAUUUGAGAGAAACACAAACAAGAACCUGUGAAGGCACUUUGGCUCGAGAACCUUUUGCUGAUUUUGAACAGUGACACCACUUUGAUCAGGAACCACUGAAACACGAGUUUUCUCCCCAAUCAUGAGAUAAAUUACAAAAGAUGUGAAAUCCAUUGAAAGAUUUUUUUUUAAACACAUCUCGGUAACCUAGUCAAGAAAUAAAAUGCAGUUAUUUGCUGUUAUACUUUCACUGUCCACUUUAUUAGGAACAGCUGUACACCUGCACGUUCAUGCAGUUAUCUAAUCAGCCAAUCAUGUGGCAGGCAGCACAAUGCAUACAGAGGGUUAGUCUGUGUCCAUGAUGGCCUCAGAUUCCUUUCCUUGGUUGACAGGAGUGGAAGCUGAUGUGGCCUUCUGCUCUUGUCGCUCAUUCACCUCAAGGUUUGAUGGGUUGUGUGUUCUGAGAUGCUUUUCUGCUCACCACGGUUGUAGAGUGACUAUUUGAGUUACUAUGUUCUUCCUGGCAGCUUGAACCAAUCUGUCCAUUUUCCUCUGAUCUCUCUCAUCAGCGAGGCGUUUCCACCCACAGAUCUGUCGCUCGUUCAGUGUUUUUAGUUUUUUUCACCAUUCUGUGUAAACUCUACAGGCUGUUUCUGUGAAAAUCCCAGGAGAUCAGCAGUUUAUGAAAAACUCAAACUUCUGGUACCAACAUCCAAGCCACGAUUAAAGUCUCAGACGUCACACUUUUCCCCCUUUCUGAUGUUUGAUGCAAACAUUAACUGAAGCUCUUGACCUGUAUCUGCAGGAUUUUAUACAUUGCACUGCUGCCACAUGAUUGGCUGAUUGAGAUAACUACAGGAAUGUACAGGUGUUCCUAAUAAAGUGGACAGUGGGGAGUAUUUGUUAUCAUGUGCAAAGCACAUCCCAAAACAACAAAACUGUUGUUUUGGGAUGAACAAAACUGACUUCAAAGUGCGACUUGUCACAAAAGCAAGAAACUGAAAAGUGCAAAGCCGUCCAUUCGAAAGACAUUCCCAUGUCAGAAAACUGAACAUUACAGCUUGACUUCUGAAUGUACAAAAACGAACGCUAAAGACUCCUUCCAUAAAUAUUCAAUCAGUGUCUCCUGACAGAAAACAUGACCAUAUCGACAUGUCCAAACCCUUUUUUAAAAAUCCAUUCAUGUGCAUGUUACUACAGAAAAACAACAUAUUAGAACAAGCACCUUGUAGCCAGAACUGAUGUUAUAGAAACAAAUCGACAUCAUCUGACCAAACAGAGUUGAGAAUUCAACAGCACUGUGGGAUGAAAUGAAAUAAGUGUCAGGAUAUUACAUUAAAUAUACCCACUUUGGCCAUUUUAAAUGUUAACGUUUCCAUUUAACGAGAGCCGAAGCUGAUGUAAUGUUGGAAAACAUGUUGCAUGAGACUAGCACUGGAAAAUUCCAUGCUUCAUAUUCAGUAUGUCGAGUCCACUUUUAAUCCUUUACACUGUAUAGAGUGUGUAAGUUGUGGUGUACAUCAUCUGUAAACUGAUACGUAUGUACUUUCUGUUCUUAUUCUCAUCAUGUACAAAUGUGUGUGUAUGUGUACAGUAAUAGAUGGCCUGAGGUUGACCGAGAUGUUCUACCAUGAGACAGAUAUGGAGGAUGACAGCAUGGUAAACACUGCCUUGACGUUUGUGUUCCUCUUCCUCAUCACCCUCUUCUACAGCAUCGGAGUGACUGUUAUCAAGGUGAAAUGAAGACAGAAACUGUGCAGAAACGAGUUUGGUUUUCUCUCUGUUUCUUCAUGAUACUGUUCUGAGUUAUACUUUCUGCUGUUGCCUACUCGCCUACUUUCCACGUAUUUUAUAUCUGUAAAUACCUUUUGGACAUUUAAAUGUUGGACUUUUUUCAUGCUUUUACUCAAAUCUCAAAUAAAGGUCUUUGAAAAAUA